rnacentral:rRNA from 1 species
UGGGGAAUAUUGGACAAUGGGGGCAACCCUGAUCCAGCAAUGCCGCGUGUGUGAAGAAGGCCUGCGGGUUGUAAAGCACUUUGGUGGGGGAAGAAGGCUUUCUGGAUAAUACCCAGGAGGAUUGACACUACCCCAAGAACAAGCACCGGCUAACUCUGUGCCAGCAGCCGCGGUAAUACAGAGGGUGCAAGCGUUAAUCGGAAUGACUGGGCGUAAAGGGCGCGUAGGUGGUUGCCUAAGUUAGAUGUGAAAGCCCCGGGCUUAACCUGGGAAUUGCAUCUAAUACUGGGUAACUUGAGUAGAGUAGAGGGGAGUGGAAUUUCCGGUGUAGCGGUGGAAUGCGUAGAUAUCGGAAGGAACACCAGUGGCGAAGGCGGCUCCCUGGACUCAUACUGACACUGAAGCGCGAAAGCGUGGGGAGCAAACAGGAUUAGAUACCCCCGUAGUCCCUGAGCGGGCUGGCAAGGCGCAU